AGAAUCAACGCUGGCGGCGUGCCUCAGACAUGCAAGUCGAACGAUUAAAGCUCUCUUCGGAGAGUGUAUAGAGUGGCGCACGGGUGAGUAACACGUAAGUAAUCUACCUUCGAGUGGGGAAUACCGUCCGGAAACGGACGCUAAUACCGCAUAAUGCAGCGGCAUCGUAAGAUGACAGUUGUUAAAGAAUUUAUUUCGCUUGAAGAGGAGCUUGCGGCAGAUUAGCUAGUUGGUAAGGUAAUGGCUUACCAAGGCUACGAUCUGUAACCGGUCUUAGAGGACGGUCGGUCACACUGACACUGAAUAACGGGUCAGACUCCUACGGGAGCAGCAGUCGGGAAUUUGGGCAAUGGCGAAAGCCUGACCCAGCAACGCCGCGUGAAGGAUGAAGUA
rnacentral:rRNA from 1 species